CGUAGGGUGCAAGCGUUGUCCGGAAUUAUUGGGCGUAAAGAGCUCGUAGGCGGUCUGUUGCGUCGGCUGUGAAAACCCGGGGCUCAACCCCGGGCCUGCAGCCGAUACGGGCAGACUAGAGUUCGGCAGGGGAGACUGGAAUUCCUGGUGUAGCGGUGAAAUGCGCAGAUAUCAGGAGGAACACCGGUGGCGAAGGCGGGUCUCUGGGCCGAAACUGACGCUGAGGAGCGAAAGCGUGGGGAGCGAACAGGAUUAGAUACCCUGGUAGUCCACGCCGUAAACGUUGGGCGCUAGGUGUGGGUUCCCUUCCACGGGAUCCGUGCCGCAGCUAACGCAUUAAGCGCCCCGCCUGGGGAGUACGGCCGCAAGGCUA
rnacentral:rRNA from 1 species